GUCGGGAUAGCUCAGCUGGUAGAGCAGAGGACUGAAAAUCCUCGUGUCACCAGUUCCAAUCAGGUUCCUGGCA
rnacentral:tRNA from 2 species